ACGUAGGGUGCGAGCGUUGUCCGGAAUUACUGGGCGUAAAGCGCACGUAGGCGGGCUGUCAAGUCGGCCGUGAAAUGCACUGGCUCAACCGGUGUUUGGCGGUCGAUACUGGCGGUCUGGAGUAUGGGAGAGGUGACUGGAAUUCCAGGUGUAGCGGUGAAAUGCGUAGAUAUCGCGAGGAACACCAGUCGCGAAGGCGGGUUCCUGGCUCAUUACUGACGCUGAGGCGCGAAAGCGUGGGGAGCGAACGG
rnacentral:rRNA from 1 species